CUUAGGGACACUUCCAGUGGUCGCUCUUCAUAUGGCCGCUCUUUGCAGCACUGACCUUCAGUGUCUUAAAAAUCUGCCAGGAUGGUGUUUGGUUCCUUUAAAGCAGCACCCUUGUCAAUCUCUUCCAAUACAAUGCUUUCCUAUGGAAAAGCAUUGUGAUUGACUCAGAUCAUUACUUCUGAUGUCAGCCAAGGAGGCAGAGCCUGG